CCUACGGGUGACAGCAGUGAGGAAUAUUGGUCAAUGGGCGCGAGCCUGAACCAGCCAAGUCGCGUGAGGGAAGACGGUCCUAUGGAUUGUAAACCUCUUUUGUCGGGGAGCAAAAGACGCUACGCGUGGCGCUCCGAGAGUACCCGAAGAAAAAGCAUCGGCUAACUCCGUGCCAGCAGCCGCGGUAAUACGGAGGAUGCGAGCGUUAUCCGGAUUUAUUGGGUUUAAAGGGUGCGCAGGCGGAGGUUUAAGUCAGCGGUAAAAUUGGGGGGCUCAACCUCGUCGAGCCGUUGAAACUGGGUUGCUAGAGUGGGUGAGAAGUAUGCGGAAUGCGUGGUGUAGCGGUGAAAUGCAUAGAUAUCACGCAGAACUCCGAUUGCGAAGGCAGCAGACCGGCGCUCAACUGACGCUCAUGCACGAAAGUGUGGGUAUCGAACAGGAUUAGAUACCCGGGUAGUC
rnacentral:rRNA from 1 species